rnacentral:rRNA from 1 species
GUUGUUUUACAAAACAUGUCCUAAUGUUUUAAUUUAUUAGGUCUAACCUGCUCAAUGAUUAAUUAUUAAAUAGCCGCAGUAUUUUGACUGUGCGAAGGUAGCAUAAUCACUUGUCUUUUAAUUGAAGGCUUGAAUGAAUGGUUGGAUGAAAAGGUAACUUUCUUUAUAUUAAAAAAUAUAAUUUAAUUUUUAAGUUAAAAAGCUUAAAUUUUUUAGUGGGACGAGAAGACCCUGUAGAAUUUUAUUUUUAUUAUUGUUUUAAUUUUUAGGAUAAUAUGAAUUAUAAAUUUUAAUAAAAAUUUUGUUGGGGUGACAGUGAGAUUUAUUUAACUCUCAUAUUUAAUUAAUUAUUUAUUUAUAUAUUUUUGAUCCUAUUUUAUAGAAAUUAGAUUAAAUUACCUUAGGGAUAACAGCGUAAUUCUUUUGGAGAGUUCCUAUCGAUGAAAGGGUUUGCGACCUCGAUGUUGGAUUAAAAUUAGAUUUAAGUGCAGAAGCUUAAUUUCUAGGUCUGUUCGACCUUUAAAUUUUUACAUGUUGGUUUUUAACCCG